rnacentral:rRNA from 1 species
GACGAACCGUGCAAACGUUAUUCGGAAUCACUGGGCUUAAAGCGCGUGUAGGCGGGCCGGCACGUCGGUUGCUGAAAGCCCCCGGCUUAACCGGGGAAGCGGCGCCGAUACGACCGGCCUGGAGGGGGGGGUAGGGGGGGGCCUGGAACUGCCGGUGGAGCGGUGAAAUGCGUUGAGAUCGGCAGGAACGCCCGCGGCGAAAGCGGCCUCACUGGACAGUAACUGACGCUGAUGCACGAAAGCUAGGGGAGCAAACAGG